rnacentral:rRNA from 1 species
AACGAACGCUGGCGGCGUGCCUAAUACAUGCAAGUCGAACGUUAAGUGUAGCAAUACGCUGAAAGUGGCGAACGGGUGAGUAACACGUAAGUAAUCUGCCUUUAAGAUUGGGAUAACCUUGCCAACGCGGGGCUAAUACCGGAUGUGGUUGACAUGACGCAUGUUGUGUUAAUUAAAGGAGUGAUCCGCUUAAAGAUGAACUUGCGGCCCAUUAGUUAGUUGGCGGGGUAACGGCCCACCAAGACCGCGAUGGGUAGCCGGCCUGAGAGGGUGUACGGCCACAUUGGGACUGAGAUACGGCCCAGACUCCUACGGGAGGCAGCAGUAGGGAAUUUUGCGCAAUGGACGAAAGUCUGACGCAGCAACGCCGCGUGAGGGAUGAAGGUCUUCGGAUUGUAAACCUCUGUUGAAUGGGAAAAAAAGUAGCAAUAUUUGAUGGUACCAUUUGAGGAAGCACCGGCUAACUACGUG